CCACCGUAAGGUGGAGAGGGAGGUGGGGAUGACGUCAAUCAGCACGGCCCUUAUGUCCAGGGCUACACACGUGUUACAAUGGUCGGUACAGAGGGCAGCUACCUGGUGACAGGAUGCUAAUCUCGAAAACCGGUCUCAGUUCGGAUCGAAGUCUGCAACUCGACUUCGUGAAGCUGGAUUCGCUAGUAAUCGCGCAUCAGCUAUGGCGCGGUGAAUACGUUCCCGGGCCUU
rnacentral:rRNA from 1 species